AUGCUCCCUGCGAUGGUCUGCCUGAACACUUCCACCCCAAGAACGUCCGAGAUGAUCUCCUCGGUUUCCCUGGUGAGAUCUGGGUUUGUGAGAGCCACGUGGUCGUUGCAAGCAAUGCACUUGCCGAGGGCGGAGAGCCGCUCGUCGACACUGACGACCACCUCAUCAGGCAGGCUAUUCUUGAGGUGCUGGAGCUCUAUGGCAGGCAUUUGA
rnacentral:rRNA from 1 species